rnacentral:rRNA from 1 species
UUCGCAAUGCCCGAAAGGGUGACGAAGCGACGCCGCGUGCGGGAAGAAGGCCUUCGGGUUGUAAACCGCUGUCGGGAGUUAAGAAAUGUAAGGAUGUUAAUAGCAUCUUUGCUUGACUAAGGCUCCGGAGGAAGCCACGGCUAACUCUGUGCCAGCAGCCGCGGUAAUACAGAGGCGGCAAGCGUUGUUCGGAAUUAUUGGGCGUAAAGAGCACGUAGGCGGCUAUGUAAGUCGGUUGUGAAAGCCUUCCGCUCAACGGGAGAACAGCAUCCGAUACUGCAUGGCUUGAGUGCGGGAGGGGAGAGUGGAACUUCUGGUGGAGCGGUGAAAUGCGUAGAUAUCAGAAGGAACGCCGGCGGCGAAAGCGACUCUCUGGCCCGUAACUGACGCUGAGUGUGCGAAAGCUAGGGGAGCAAACGGGAUUAGAUACCCCGGUAGUCCUAGCCGUAAACGAUGGGCACUAAGUAGAGGGGUUUUA